rnacentral:rRNA from 1 species
GACGAACGCUGGCGGCGUGCUUAACACAUGCAAGUCGAACGGAAAGGCCCCCACUUUUUUGGUGGGGGUGCUCGUGUGGCGAACGGGUGAGUAACACGUGGGUGAUCUGCCCUGUACUUCGGGAUAAGCUUGGGAAACUGGGUCUAAUACCGGAUAGGACCAUGGUUUAGUGUCUCAUGGUGGAAAAAUUAUUGUUUUGGUGCAGGAUGAGCUCGCGGCCUAUCAGCUUGUUGGUGGGGUAAUGGCCUACCAAGGCGUCGACGGGUAGCCGGCCUGAGAGGGUGGACGGCCACAUUGGGACUGAGAUACGGCCCAGACUCCUACGGGAGGCAGCAGUGGGGAAUAUUGCACAAUGGGCGCAAGCCUGAUGCAGCGACGCCGCGUGGGGGAUGACGGCCUUCGGGUUGUAAACUCCUUUCGUUAGGGACGAAGCCGCACCUUUUUUGGGUGUGGUGACGGUACCUUUGUGAAGAAGCACCGGCUAACUACGUG